CCCUUAGAUGUUCUGGGCCGCACGCGCGCUACACUGAUGCAUUCAACGAGUUAUUCCCUUGGCCGAGAGGCCUGGGCAAUCUUUUGAACGUGCAUCGUGAUAGGGAUAGAUUAUUGCAAUUAUUAAUCUUGAACGAGGAAUUCCUAGUAAACGCAGAUCAUCAAUCUGCAUUGAUUACGUCCCUGCCCUUUGUACACACCGCCCGUCGCACCUACCGAUUGAAUGGUCCGGUGAAGCCUCGGGAUUGUGGCCGUUGCCUUUGUUGGUGUCGGUUGCGAGAACUUGUCUAAACCUUAUCAUUUAGAGGAAGGUGAAGUCGUAACA
rnacentral:rRNA from 1 species